rnacentral:tRNA from 1 species
CAAAAUAUAGUUUAUAAUAAAACAUUCCGUUUACACCUGAAAAAACCUUAUUAAAUUAAGAUAUUUUGA